UGUCAAAGCGACAGCAAGUUUUUUUUACAUUGAUUACAUAAGGAAAUUGCUAUCUUGCAAAGUCGACAUCGCAGUGUUCACUUUUUUCUCUUUUUCAAACUAAAAAGGAAUAUAUUUUCAAGACCAAGAAAGUCUUAAAAUAAAUCUUUGUUGUAAUUAAAUCGAAGCAAACAAUUGAAAGAUGAGUUUCUUCUCGAGAGUUUUGGGACGCAACUCCACCUACGUCCUUGGUAUCGUCAUCACCGCAUUCGUAAUUGACCGAACUGUUGAAAUCGGAGCCGAAUAUGUGUGGAAGACACAGAACAAAGGCUUGACCUUCGAAGAAAUUAAGGAUCGAUUCCAGGAAUAGGCGAGCCAUCAUCGAGAGUUACCAUGAUUCAAUUGCAAAGGUGUCGCGGAAUUAUUUAAAUCGAUUAUGUUUCACUUUAAGUAGUACUGUCUAAAUAAACGAAUAAAAAAAACUUCUGAAGAAGAAAA